rnacentral:rRNA from 1 species
AGUGAACGCUGGCGGUAGGCCUAACACAUGCAAGUCGAACGGCAGCACAGUAAGAGCUUGCUCUUACGGGUGGCGAGUGGCGGACGGGUGAGGAAUACAUCGGAAUCUACUUUUUCGUGGGGGAUAACGUAGGGAAACUUACGCUAAUACCGCAUACGACCUACGGGUGAAAGCAGGGGAUCUUCGGACCUUGCGCGAUUGAAUGAGCCGAUGUCGGAUUAGCUAGUUGGCGGGGUAAAGGCCCACCAAGGCGACGAUUCGUAGCUGGUCUGAGAGGAUGAUCAGCCACACUGGAACUGAGACACGGCCCAGACUCCUACGGGAGGCAGCAGUGGGGAAUAUUGGACAAUGGGCGCAAGCCUGAUCCAGCCAUACCGCGUGGGUGAAGAAGGCCUUCGGGUUGUAAAGCCCUUUUGUUGGGAAAGAAAAGCAGCAGGUUAAUACCCCGCUGUUCUGACGGUACCCAAAGAAUAAGCACCGGCUAACUUCGUG